CCCGUUUCACAAUUACUGUGUUGGGAAGAAAGAACAAAAUUAGCUGGCUGACGCAGUGACACUCACCCAAUGAGAUCGUUACCUGAGAUCCGUUCAUCUGAAAGAACCUCAUGCACGCGUGCCUAUAUGUCGAUCGUAUUCACUGAUUAACAUUUCAACUGCUGUUGAACUUCCGCCUUAAUAAAGUCGGCUCUCUACUGCUACCUUAACCAUGAGCAGACCACUUCGAGCAAAGGUACCGCUAAAUUAGCUGCCUGCUCUUGCGGGCAGUCGGCUGUCGUCAACAAAACGAAACGAAAGCAUCGGGACGAGAAACGAUUCGUUCAAAUAAAGCUUCGGCGGUAAAGAUGGAGCGCACUGAUACUAGAUUGACCCGGGAUCAACAGCAACUUGUGUCGUCGACUUUCCCUUUUUCGUAGAGUUAAGGCUCCCUCUUUCUUUUCCUUUGUCGUCUCUGUAUACACUUGGUAAAUGACAGUCGAUGCCCAACCCGCUACUAUGGCCUAGGCUUAUACCGCAAAUCAGCUUCGUUUGCUGUAGAGUGAAGACUGCGGGAUAUAUUUGGUAAAAGAGCUCACCACAGACAUCCACGUUCGGCCUAGUGAAGGGGGUUCGUGUUAAGGACAUCGAAAACGGGGCGUGGCCUAGCCUUUUGUCGCUAUCCAGUCCUCGGCAAAGUUCACAGCCAAUUCGAGCUCAAUUUUCUGAUGAGUCAACAACAAGUCUCAAUUAAGUUGCCGAUCGCGUAGUCAGUGCUCGCUGCGAUCUCGCAUGCUUUCCUCAGAUUCAACAUCUCUCCCUCGCCUAUUUCCCUCCCUUUCUUCCUGUAUUCCCCUAUACCCCAACACCCACCCGCCCGUUGCUCGUUGUCAGGCAACUACUCCCUUGCGACUGCUCCCAGAGUCAGCCCAAAGCCACUACCACAGCGCAGGGUGAACAGGGGGGUGAAAGGACACAGAAAUACGCUCUAGCAAAUAGGGAUGCUUGCGAGAGGCGGCAGAGCCGGUGGACCCAUUGGAUCGAGCAGCGGACCAAGCGGGCGACCACGGUCGAGCUCCGUUGAGCCGGUGAAGUGUGGCCGCUGCUGCAGCCCAGGGAAUGUCGUCAGCAGCCGGGUUGGGGUGCUCUCGGUUAGCCUAGACGACUGCCCGACUGCCUGGAUGGGGACUGGGUGCGACAAAUCUCGGAAUUUACAUCUGAGAGCGCGCAGAGAAAGAAAGUAAGCUUGAAGCCUUUCUGCAUGCCUCUAUGGGGUUACUGGUAGUGCCCUUUGGAACGUUGUAGGUCAAACUGUUUGUGGAACCCAAACUGUUCAGCAGGCGGCAGAAGAUCGGCGCGAGUGGUACACUUUUAGUCUAGCGGAGGUUAUGAACAGUGCUAUUGCCAGAGCCCCCAGCCGGCCCACUGCCCCGCGUGGUUUAAAACAUGCAGAUUUUUAGGAUGAAUAUCAUGGCAUUAAAUGUGUUUUCGAAAAAAUUUGCUAGCAAAGUCCAUCCUCUUUACAGAAGCUGUU